rnacentral:rRNA from 1 species
GCCAGACUCCUACGGGAGGCAGCAGUGGGGAAUAUUGGGCAAUGGGCGCAAGCCUGACCCAGCAACGCCGCGUGAAGGAAGAAGGCUCUCGGGUUGUAAACUUCUUUUAUCAGGGACGAAGCAAGUGGCGGUACCUGAGGAAUAAGCCACGGCUAACUACGUGCCAGCAGCCGCGGGAAUACGUAGGUGGCAAGCGUUAUCCGGAUUUACUGGGUGUAAAGGGCGUGUAGGCGGGAAAGCAAGUCAGAUGUGAAAACCAUGGGCUCAACCUGUGGCCUGCAUUUGAAACUGUUGUUCUUGAGUACUGGAGAGGCAGGCGGAAUUCCCAGUGUAGCGGUGAAAUGCGUAGAUAUUAGGAGGAACACCAGUGGCGAAGGCGGUCUGCUGGACAGCAACUGACGCUGAGGCGCGACAGCGUGGGGAGCAAACAGGAUUAGAUCCCCCGGUA